GACGAACGGAGCGAGCGUUAUUCGGAAUCACUGGGCUUAAAGAGCACGUAGGCGGACUGUCAAGCAUUUUGUGAAAUCCCUCGGCUCAACCGAGGAAUUGCUUGGUGAACUGGCAGUCUUGAGGCAAGUAGAGGUAACCGGAACUCUUGGUGGAGCGGUGGAAUGCGUAGAUAUCAAGAGGAACGCCAGAGGUGAAGACGGGUUACUGGGCUUGUACUGACGCUGAGGUGCGAAAGCGUGGGGAGCGAACGGG
rnacentral:rRNA from 1 species